rnacentral:rRNA from 1 species
UACGUAGGGUGCAAGCGUUGUCCGGAAUUAUUGGGCGUAAAGAGCUCGUAGGCGGUCUGUCGCGUCUGCUGUGAAAACUCAGGGCUUAACCCUGAGCUUGCAGUGGGUACGGGCAGACUAGAGUGCGGUAGGGGAGACUGGAAUUCCUGGUGUAGCGGUGAAAUGCGCAGAUAUCAGGAGGAACACCGGUGGCGAAGGCGGGUCUCUGGGCAUCUCCUGACGCUGAGGCGCGAAAGCGUGGGGAGCAAACGGG